ACCUGAGGAAUUUUAUCUUCAGCAGGAUUAAAACAACACUAGACCUGAGGGCAGGAAGGUGGGAACUGCUUGGAGGAGGGUAUCACGCUAAUUGAGAGAAAAGAAAGCUCAUUUUCCCAAGGGAUGAAAAACUGAGGGGAAUUCUUGAUGAUUAUCUCCACGUUUAGCUGACCCCAUUCCCUGUUAUUGUUCCCUCCUUUAUCUGUGGGACAGACACACUCUGGUGAAGCGAGCUAAAGUCUCUCUCUCUCUCUGUCUCUCUCUCUCUCUCUCUCUCUCUCUGCUCUUGUUAGGCGUUAAUGAGCCACAGUCUGCAGGAGAAUAGACAAGGUGCCAAAGCUAUAAUGGCCAGUAUAGGCAUUUAAACUCGACUUAGUUUUCCUUUCUCACUUGGUUUUAAAAUCAAUUUACUUGUCCCUCUCACUUCUCACUUCCCGUGAUAUUUACCAGCACGUGACGUAACUAACUAACUAACUAACAAACAAAAUAAACCAACUAAACAUAAUUAAACUAACAAAAAUAAACAACUAAGUAAGCAUCUAAAGGAAAUUCAGCUAAAAAAAAAACUAAAGAAAAACUAAUAAAAUAAACAACUAACAAACUAAAGGAACAUCAACUAAAUAAACAAAUAUCCAUCCACUUUCUGUACCACUUAUCCUACACAGGGUCGUGGAGAGCAUGGAGUCUAUCCCAGGGGACUCGGGGCACAAGGCAGGGGACACUCUGGACAGGGUGCCAACCCAUUACAGCUGUCAAGCAAGCCGGACAUCUGGGCUGCUGUGCUUUUGCUGACAGCACGUACUAACCCCCAAGAACAGAGAAUCAUGAUGAUCAGCGGCAUCCCAAAUCCUACUGUCAGUGAGGAGGCUGGCUCCAACUGUUAGCAUCCAAAUCCCCAGACAGACUAGUGGUGCCUUUUUGCGGCCUUCACGCACUCGGGAUGACAUAGGGAAGCAGACAGCCAGGCAGCGGUCAAGGCUAACACAG